rnacentral:tRNA from 2 species
AAGGACUUAGCUUAAUUAAAGCAGUUGAUUUGCAUUCAACGGAUGUAGGGUAUAGUCUUACAGUUCUUA